GCCCGGCUUCGCAAGUUCAAGUCAGAAGAGAUGGAGGCUCGAAUGGAAGGGAAGAAUUGCAUAGUUACAGGAGCUAAUUCUGGACUUGGUUAUGCAACUGCAGAGGGUCUUGCUUCACGUGGGGCUAACGUUUAUAUGAUUUGCCGCGACAAGGACAGAGGAGAAGCUGCCCCCUCUUCGAUAAAAUCUACUAUGGGAAACCCAAAUGUGAAUUUGGAGGAAUGCAGUAGUUUCCAUUUAUUAUUUUUUAUUUGUCUCGAGAUAUUCUUAUGGGAGGAUUUUUGGCGUUUGCCUGUUGCUGCUCUUCAGAAGUCAUACUUCUGGAUGAUCGAGUAGAUCACCAGUUACAUAGAUAUUUGAUUACAUGUGAGUUGAUGCCUUUUUAAUCUAGUGUGCAGGUAUGUGAUCUUUCCUCUAUCAAUGAGAUCAAGUCAUUUGCAUCCAGAUUUUCUUCAAAGGAUUUGCCUCUUCAUGUCUUGGUUAAAAGUGCUGGCUUGCUUGAGCAUAAGCGGAUCACCAUGCCAGAAGGAAUUAAUGUUGCCUUUGCUUGAAAAAGUGGCGCCUGAUGCUCAAGUCAUCACUGUUUCUUUUGCUGGAAUGUAUACAAGUCCCUUGACUACUGAUCUAGAGUGAUGCCGACUUUGAGGGGGUGGAGCAAUAUGCUCGAAACAAGAGAGUUCAGGUGAGCAGCAUCACUUACUCACUGGUCAAUUCUUCUUUAUUCUGUAUAAUUUUUUUUUUUUUUUAGGGCAUUGCUCUUUCAGAACACUUAAGUGGGUUUAUUUGAGCAAUACAGUCCUACCCUGUCUUCUCAUCAGCAUGUCAAAAUCUUCUCUCCAUACAAAAUCUCCUAGUGAUGAACCAUCCAUUCUCUUUUAUGAACCAAUAUUCUGUUAUCUAACUCUUUCCUAAUUGAAUAUCUUAAUAUGAAAUUACUAGCUUCAGAACAUUGAUACGUUUUCAUUGAGGCCUUGAUUCUUUGGUGAGUUCCACCCAAUCCAUGACUAUAUCCGAAAAAAUUGAGAUUGAGGAUUGGGUGUCCCUCAAGGUGCAUGGGAGAGGCCCUAGAUGAUACAUACCGGUUAUGUCUGUGAAAGUCCCUCAUUAUGGGUUUGCAAUGGAUCUUCAUCGUUUUUUGAGAUUCUGUGUUAUUUCUAUGGGUAAAUUACGUUGACAUCGUUCGAGUUUUGGUCAAGUUACCUAGAGACCUUUAUUUCAGAGAGCGUAUCUGCACAAGCUACUCAACCGCUCCUCUGUAUAUUCAAAAACUACUUUUCUCAUUUUUACUAUCUUUAUUUUACAUACUUACUAAAAGAGCUGUUAGAGUAGCUCUUGAAAAUACGAUAAGGGAAGUCAAAGCCGUAGAGAUAUGAUUGUGAAAGGAACUUUUAUGAGAACUGUACUUACUUAAUCAAACAAACCGAGGGAAGUAUCGUCCUGUGUUUUUUUCCAUAGCCUUGGACAUUUGCUUUAUUUUUCACUUGAUAGAAGCAACACAUAAUCUGCUUAAUUUAUGAAAGAAAAAAAAAUUUCUUUCCGUUCCUAUACUCACACCUUUUUGUUAUCAAUUCCUUGUACUUUUAUUGUAAUUUUUCUAAUCAAGUCCUACUUUUACAAAUUUUCUAUCAAGUCCCUCUUAACACCAAAUCCAACCCAUUACAAUCAACCUGGCUAUUAGAUGAUGUCAUAAUGUGACGUGGAUAAAUUUUUUUCGAUAUGGACGAUUAUGUGGGCAUCUACAUUAGCUAAACUCUAUCGACAUCAUACUCUGACAUUGUCUACAUUCUGUAAAUUUUUCCAUGCGACCAUUUGGGCAUCUGCAUAUUUAUUCGCAUCAUAUUUUGGCUUUGUCUGACGGCCUCACCCGCUAAAUCUGGUCAGAUUUGGUGUCGUAGAGACUUUGUAAAAAUAGUGAGAAUUUGAUUAGACAAAUAAACGGUAUGGGCACUGAUUAGAAAAAAUCCCGGAAGUGGACGAAAAGCAAUAUUUUUCCUUUGUUAAAGUACCAAUGAGAUGACGUAAUAAGCAUCCCGUAGAUGUUACUUUGUUCAGAUCUGUAAUAUCUCUAUAUAGAUGCGUCCUUCCUUCGAAUGAAAAUGUGAUAUUUAAUGAUUCUGGUAUUUCCCUUUGAACUGCCUUAUAACAAAAUCAAAUCCCCGUACUUCAAGAGUUUUGCCUAUCUGCUCUGGUCCUCUUCUUCAGGUUAGAGGCAUGUUCUAUGAAUUAAUUUGGUCGGGUUGCUAAGACUUUACUACGGUUCCAUUUGACUCAGAUGAUAGUGAUUGCAACAAAGAAUUUGAGCUGACAAUUUUCAACAGAUUCAAGUACGAAACAAAUUCUUAAACUUGAUGAAAACUUUUAAACAUACUACAAUGGAUAAUCCGAUGUUUGGGAAGAGAGACGUGGUUGUGAAUUGCCAUAAUAUUUUAAAAGGUUGUGCUUUCCGCAGGAAGCUUCAUCUAGACGAAGUUGCUAUUCAUAGUCAUUGUUAACUCUUUUCUGUUCUAUUAGGUAGCGCUGACAGAAAAGUGGGCUGAGGUACACAAUGAGAGAGGGAUUGGCUUCUACUCGAUGCACGCUGGUUGGGCUGAGAUGCCGAGUGUUGCCAAGAGCUUGCCUGGUUUCUCUAAAUCGUAUGGCAAUCUUUUAUUUGCAGUUACUUUCUUGGUUCACUGCCUCCUAUUUACUUCGCUUUAUUUUUUACUCUGAUUAUUUAUCUUUCUUAUUGUUUGAGAAGUCUCUCUGGAAAGCUCAGAACUAAACAAGAAGGUGCCGACACAAUUAUUUGGUUGGCUUUACAGCCGAAAGACAAAUUGGUCUCUGGUGCAUUCUAUUUUGAUAGAGCACUGGCGCCGAAACAUCUUAUGUUUGCAGCUACUGGAGACUCUUAUACUCAUUGACUCGAUAAUUGGUAAACUAGUGUCUCUAUCUGGCCUUGCUUGAUGAAGCAGGAGUCAUUUCAAUAACGAAUCCAACCGUUGCUGUGGACUGUGAAUCAAAUUCAGAAGUUAAAUGUCUUUUUUUCCUCUUCAA